UUGAUUACUGGGGUCAAGGGACCAUGGUCACCGUCACAUCAGCUGAAAAAUCAGCCCCUUCUGUUUUCCCUCUGAGACCAUGCUGUGGGUCGCUAGAUUCUCAAAAUGAAGUCACCAUUGGAUGUUUGGCUACUGGCUAUUUACCCACACCUGUGGAUGUCAAGUGGAACUCAGGCUCCAUAACUACAGGAAUAAAGAACUUUCCAUAUGUCCAGCAGUCAAGUGGAUAUACCAGUACCAGCAUACUGACUAUCCCUUAUUCUGACUGGGAAAGUAAAUCCUUUUCAUGCAAUGUGGAGCACAAACCAACAGACUCAACUAUCACUAAAAUAGUUCCAGAGUGUAAGGUAUUAGCCAGUGCACCAACUGUGGAGGUCAUGCUGGGAUCGUGUGGUGACAUUCGUGAAGGUGGGACUGUUGAACUUGUCUGCCUUAUCUCAGGAUACGCCCCUGAAAACAUCAAUGUGCAGUGGCUAAAAGAUGGAGUGGUUACAUCAAUCCCCUUUUCAAGCAUUACACAAUACAAAACAGACAAUGGGACUUACAUAUCCAGAAACAGUAUCCAAGUUUUAAGAUCAGACUUUGAUGGACGUGCCACUUUCACUUGUAGGGCCAUUCAUACGGCCAGCAAAACAAAACCUGAGGACAGCAUUCAAAAGUGUUCAGGAGAGGAGAGAUGUUUGAUUCCCAAGAUGACCCUGUUACCUCCUUCCCCAAAGGAACUGCUUAUAGACACUAAUGAUGUAAAAGUGACAUGUGUGGUUUCCAACAUGGAAAGUGAUGACACUUUGAAAAUUACAUGGUCCCGAAGUGAUAUCAAAGGAACAAUAGAGCCUACUUCUAUGUCAUCCAAAAAAAUUGAUGGUACUUACACAACCAAGGCUACUUUAAAAAUAAGCUCUCAGGAUUGGCAAAGCGAAAAGAAGUUCACUUGCAAAGCAGAACAUGAUGAUCUGACCUAUCCAAUUUCAAAGACCAUAUACAAAAGUGAAGAACAAGUCCUGGACCCAUCAGUAUUUGUAUACCCACCUCCACAGGACGAGAUUUCUAAUAACGAAUAUGUAAGCCUUCUCUGUAUGGUUUAUGGCUUUAAACCCCAAAACAUCUACAUUCAGUGGAAGAAAAGUGGUAUGCCCCAAGAUGAAGAUCUAGUCAUCAACACCUCACCUGUAGAGCAGAAUGGUUCCUACUUCAUGGUUAGCAAGCUAAACAUUAGGAAAUCUGACUGGUUUAGAGGUGCCACAUUCACCUGCGGAGCUCUGCACAACAAGAUCACUCAGAGAGACAUCUCCAUUGGUCAGAAAGACAACAAGAGGUUGUUUAGGGGUAAAUGAUCCAUGUUUUUCUCCCACUGCUCGGCUUCUGAAGUAGCCCAAUCUGCUUACUUCCUUCUCUCCUGUUCAUGUGUUUGUUGUCCAUGCUGUGUCCCCUCAGGCUCUUUCUCUGUUUGGUGUGUGGAACAUCAAACAAUUACAAUUCUAGGGCUAUGGAGUGAUGCUAAGAUGAAAUUCAUGCAGUUUGCUGUAUGUUUAAUGUCUAUUUAUGUAGAACAAUGCCUUACAACUUAAGAUAAUUAGAUACAAAUAAAAGUAAUUGUUUAAAGCCUUUCAUCACAUUUUUAUUUAAUUGUCUACAGUAUAAAGGCAACUGUUAUACAAAAAUGGACAAUAUGACAACUUUGUAUGAUGUUAGUAAUUGUUAUAUUGUAAUAAAUGACCCCAGCAUGUAUGUGUCAUCCAAUGUAUGGUGUUAUCAGCAUUCAGCUUUCCUUGCAUUACCCUUUGUACCAGUCUAGUGUGUGGAACACCAGAUUUAAAGUGUUAUGUUAAGCAUGCUUUUUUCUCAAUAAACUCUAAAUUACAAAUG